rnacentral:rRNA from 1 species
AAGGUCGCACUCGUUUUACUCAGUUGGUACCGUGACGGACCGUUAGAUGAGUUGCGCAGCCGAUCCGAACGACGCAUUUCUUUCCGCCCGAAGGACGCCGCAACCGGUUGGGAGACGGCCUGAUGGUGGAGCGACGGCAGGUGGCCGGUGGCGUGCCCAGCGCGUCGUCGGUGUUUAGCCAGCUCUUCACACGGCACGUAGCCCGACCGUGGUGUCGCGAAGCCCGCUCACAUGGGCUUCACCGCCUCCUCUCCGUAAAAAAGAGAUGCGCACAGGCUGCGGAAGUGGCUCUUCGACGCGACAGGCGCACAGACUGACUCUGUGGCCAGUUGCUCGGAGUCCUCGGUGGCCGCCGAUUGAUGCGUUGGAGGCUGGCGGUUGGCGGCGAGUAGAUCGGUCACCCAUCCGACCCGUCUUGAAACACGGACCAAGGAGUCUAACAUGUAUGCGAGUCAAUGGGACUCGAAUAAGCCCAGAGGCGCAAUGAAAGCAAAGUUCGGUGUGACGCCGAACGAGUUGGGAUCCCCGGGCCUACGAGCUCGGGGCGCACCAACGACCCGCCCUGUCCGAUUCAUCGGUUGGGCGGAGUUUGAGCAUACACGUUGGGACCCGAAAGAUGGUGACCUAUGCCCGGGCAGGACGAGGCCAGAGGAAACUCUGGUGGAGGUCCGCAGCGGUUCUGACGUGCAAAUCGA